AUUGAACGCUGGCGGCAUGCUUUACACAUGCAAGUCGAACGGCAGCGCGGGCUUCGGCCUGGCGGCGAGUGGCGAACGGGUGAGUAAUACAUCGGAACGUGCCCAGUAGUGGGGGAUAGCUCGGCGAAAGCCGGAUUAAUACCGCAUACGACCUGAGGGUGAAAGCGGGGGAUCUUCGGACCUCGCGCUAUUGGAGCGGCCGAUGGCAGAUUAGCUAGUUGGUGGGGUAAAGGCCUACCAAGGCGACGAUCUGUAGCUGGUCUGAGACGACGACCAGCCACACUGGGACUGAGACACGGCCCAGACUCCUACGGGAGGCAGCAGUGGGGAAUUUUGGACAAUGGGCGAAAGCCUGAUCCAGCAAUGCCGCGUGUGUGAUGAAGGCCUUCGGGUUGUAAAGCACUUUUGGCGGGAACGAAAAGGACUGUGCCAAUACCACGGUUCGAUGACGGUACCCGCAGAAUAAGCACCGGCUAACUACGUG
rnacentral:rRNA from 1 species